AUGAGCUUGAGCAUUCCCAGUUACUCACCAGAACCAAGAAAACCUCACAGAAAUCAGUUCCUGUGGGUUACUUUACUGCAUCAUUUUAGAGAACAGACUCCAAGAAUGAGCUUAAAAGCAACAUUAGUAACAACAGUAAAAAACCCUUCUUAUCAUGCUCUGUGUUUUUCUAGUUGCUUAAGAAUGGCUCUGCUUCAUGAUCAGGUAACUUCAGCUCCCAUAUUCUGUGCAAGGUAAAUUGGUACAAGAAACCCCUGAAAUGCUGAGUAUAAUUCUUAACUCUUCCAUUCCUAUAGACUACCAGCUUCUAUUUCAGUCCUGUGACUGUUUCCUAUGCAGAAAGAAUGGCCUAACACUUGAUACUUGGUUUACACUUAAUAUUCUGAUACCAGUUCAUGGUGCUUCUGAGCAGUACUGUUUUCCUUUUUCUGAUCAGAAACUGGAUCCUACUUUUGAGCAGCAGCAACACAGCUAACAUGAGAUCUCAGGCUGGGAGGAGAGAAGAACCAUGCUCAGAUUGUCUCACCUCAGGUAAGCCUGACAGGUGCCUGAUUCACUGUUCCUUGCCCCAUUUUCUGCUCAUUGCAAGUAGCAUAGUUCCUCUAAUGUCACACUCAAGGCAAUAUCAUGUUUCACUGCUUUACACCUCUUGGAGCUUUUAUGUCACUCACACAUCAGUGAAGCAGCUGUAACUCCCUCCACAUUUUAACCCUGAGAUCAGCUCUGCUGGUCUGAGCAUGGUGCUAAUAAUGCCAAGCUUGUGGGCUUGAUCCCUGCAUGGGAUAAUUUAGGAGCUGGACUCAGUGAUCCUUGUGGGUCCCUUUCAGCUCAAAAUAUUCUGUAAGGAACUGCCUUUAUCUGUGACAUUUAUAAGGUCAAUCCUCAAAAGCAUGUACUUUAAAAUGAAGAGUUAUAUUUAUUAGAUUAUGGAGCAUCAUUAUGAGAUUCAAGUUCCUGAAGGAUCUCAAGUAUAUGUGGGGUCACAAACUCUUGAGGGAUUGGACAUGAUUUUAAUUCAGCCUUCUCCCUCUCUCCCCUCUUCAACAGAAUUCCCAGCUGUAUGAGCACCUUGAGCCCAAAUUCAGUGGACAGUGGGAACGAAAGGAGUUCCACCACAGGAGCCCAUAUUUUCUCUUUUUCUCCAACUCUUGAAAAAAGGGAAAAGGAAGUGAGGAGAUGUGGGUGGAGCAUUCUAUUCAUCUUGGGCAAAGUACAAACCAACAGGAAAAAAAAGGACAAGAAUGUGUGUAUGUACAUAUAUAUAUAUGGACAAUCAGAAACUUCUUAAUAGGAGGGGACUCAUCAUAUACUUUUGAAUAAAAAAGGGAAUUUUUUUCCCAAGGGAAUUACCCAGAAAAAGCUUUGUUACAGCCUGCAAAACCCAAAAAAAUUUAUACAGAAAUCUGGAGCUAUCCUGGAAUGCAGAGCUGCUGGUAAUCUGUACAGUGCUGUAAAUCUAUGUUCUACAACGUGUAACAUUUCAGGUCACUUUCACUGCAUUUUGCAGCAAAAGCACCUUAUUAUUUUUCCACAUUCUGAUAAUUUGUUUAUAUAUUCAUCUCCCUUACAUCACUAUAAAAUAGCAAAAUACAAAAAUUAUUUGAAGAUUUUCAGAGAAGAAACCAAAUCUAUUUUUACACAUUGCUGCAGGAUCCUAAUCCCGUUUGAGGUCUGCUUUAUAAGCAAGACUUAGUUCUCAGCAGGGAGAGUGAACAGCACUUCCCAGAUGCUGCUGCUCCAAAGGAGGAACUGCUUGACAAGCACUCCAGAGCUGCAUCUUCUGGCCAAACUGGGAGUAGCAGCUUAGUGAGGAGUUCACCUAAACCUGUGAGUCCCAGCUUCAACCUGUGCUUUAAAUCCCACUUCUUUCCCUAGCUAUGGAAAUGGGAAAAGUCAAAACCCAAAAGUUUGCAGCUUGAAGUAGCAUCCAAGGAUAUGAGCAAGGACAAGAAACUGGGACGCCAACAGUGAUUCAUACACAUGGAAGUAGAAAAUUCCAGUCCAGUUCUAUCACAUGAUGUCUCUAACACUGCCUCCAAGGUCUGGUCUCCCCCCUCUCCUUUGUAUUAUAACUUAUUAAAACAGUUCACACCAUUAUGAAACACACAACCCUCUUAUGUCAUUUUAAGAAUCACUGAUUGUGCCUUCAUGGCUUGUGUCCCUAUCUACGGAAAAACAAUUUUUCAGGAGUCUUAUUCUUUUAGCCACUGCUAAUGCUGCAUUUGCAUCAUUCCUCUUUCAGGCUGAAGACAGGGCAAAUACACAGUAGACCUUCAAAGAACCACUAAGGCCAAGGCUCCCUGAGAAUUCAAUUCUUCUUCCACUACUUUCUUCAUGGCAGUCUUUCAAGGAAGUCUUAGACACAACUCAAAAACUUUAUUUACACCUUAGUUAUCCAACUCUCUUAAUACAGGUCAAUCAAACAACAGGUAUAAUUUUUUGGCAUGUGCUUCAAGCCAACAUAUCAUCAAGGAGGAUCCUGAAUAUAUUUCAGCUUUUCUUAAAUACUGUAAAUAGCAGACAAUGUUUGCUAAAAUAUAAAAGAAACCACUGUCUUUUAAGAUGCAAAGAUGAGAACUGGGAGUUGACAAAAUAAAGCCUGAGAGGUUUUUAAUGUUCUCCUUAAGACUGGAAAGGGAAAUUUCUCUACAUUAAGAGUAACAGUUUGACAAAUUUGCAGAAAAUUUCAGCUAAACACAUAAUUAAGCAAUCCAAUGCAGAAGAGCAAAACCAGCAGCACUAUGCAAGUGUAAUGAUGGAAAAUAUUGGAACAGCACGUCUCUCUCCAAAGAGCUGGUUCUCUGGUGCAGUAAUUAAAAAAGAAAACACAAAAUUCAGGGGGGAAAAAAAUGGAAACUUCAUAGUAGGCACAAAGGGCCUGACAGACUAUUGUGUUGUAUGGUAUUGCUCUAAUUUUACACAGAUGUAAAGCAAUGAUGAGUCAGGUUUUUCAACUGUACUCAGCCAUUCAGACUUCUGAUCCUUCCAUCAUGGACUUUUUACUAACAACUUAAUCCUAAAUAUCAUAAGUUAAGAUGUUCUCCCCUCUUUUAAGUAAGUAUGCUUUACUACUGAUUGAAGACAUCAAUUCCCUACUGCAGAUACUAGAGUCCCAAUUACCAACUCUACAUGCUUUAAAUGCUGUUUUCACAGCAUCUCUUGCCUGUGUUUUCUACAAAAGAUCCUCUAAAUAUAUAUUACACUUAUUUGCAACUCAUCUGUAACUGAGCCCAAUGGGAUAAGCAAUAAAUGCCUGUUGACACAAUUUUUAAUUACCCAUCAGAACUGGGUGCAGAAUUAUCUAUCAGAAUGGAACUCCAUGAGGGCCCACCAUGAUGUCACCAGAUGAUCUCACUGCUCACAGGAAUUCCAAAAGACAUCUUGUGAGCUGAAGGGCACUUUCUGUUCUCCUAUGCCUACAUUCUCCCAGCCCUUCACACCAGCUGCUCAUUCUCUGCUCUCCUUUGCAGGGGGAACAGUAAAAUUCACUGAACUGGCUCCUUUCUGACAUAAUGGCCAGCACUGAUGACAUGCCAGGCCCUCCUCCACAACACCAACAACUGCUCCUACAGUGCAGGAUUUAUUUCUGGUGAUUUAACAGAGACCAGAGUACAAUAAUUUGCACUAACAAGAAAUUCAUAUGAACAAUUUCCCAUGGUGGGAUACAAACAGAAGACAUUUUAAGGGCAAUAAGACAGCAAUCAACACUUGCUUUUCAGCAUGGAUCAACAGAUUUUCUAUCAAUUUGUAGCUUGCCUUACCUCUUU